UAACAGACCAAGCCACAUUC
rnacentral:rRNA from 1 species